UACGGAAGGCAGCAGUAAGGAAUCUUGCACAAUGGGGGAAACCCUGAUGCAGCAACGCCGCGUGAACGAUGAAGGCCUUCGGGUUGUAAAGUUCUGAUCUUGGGGAAGAAGAAAGUGACGGUACCCAAGGAGAAAGCCCCGGCUAACUACGUGCCAGCAGCCGCGGUAAU
rnacentral:rRNA from 1 species